CCCUCACCAAAGUUAGGAGACAAGGAAACCUCUUGGAAGAGCGCAGCCGCAUCGGAGAGAGAGGAGAGAGAGAGAUGAGGCUGUUCGAUCCAUGGCCGGUAUUCUUCAAGAGGGAAUGGAAGCGUUGUUGGCCGUUCAUCACGGGUUUCGCCGUCACUGGAGCCAUCAUCACUAAGUUCACUGCUGGACUCACCGAGGAAGACGCGAAGAACUCGAAGUUCGUCCAGCUUCACAGGAGGGAUAAGCAUUAAGGGAGAAGUGAGCCUUUCCGGGAAAGAGAAGAGGGUGUUUCAGCACUCCAGCUUUUAUUCAAUAACAUGAAAGAGCACACCUAGAUACUCUUUCUGUUUUCUCCCGAGAUUUUAUUUUACUCUUUUUGUUAAUUUUGAACUGAAGAAUGUGAAGCAAAUUCUACUAUGGCAAUUGGGUUUUCUCCCCCCAUGUGUUUGAAAUGGAUUUUGCCCUCUUCCCCA